rnacentral:rRNA from 1 species
UACGGAGGUGGCAAGCGUUACUCGGAUUCACUGGGUGUAAAGGGCGUGUAGGCGGUACUGUAAGCCUUGCCUUAAAGGCUCUGGCUCAACCAGAGUUUGUGGUAAGGGACUGCAGAACUUGAGGAUGGUAGAGGUGAGUGGAAUUCCCGGUGUAAGGGUGAAAUCUGUAGAGAUCGGGAGGAACACCAGUGGCGAAGGCGACUCACUGGGCCAUUCCUGACGCUGAGAUGCGAAAGCUAGGGGAGCAAACAGG